AUUUUGAAAAGAUACCUCCUCAGUGACAGCUUUUGUACCUUUUGUUCUAAGAGUGUAGAGGAGUGAGGAAUUGAGUAAUGACUGUGCUGUGAGAAUAUAUAGCAUGUGUUAUAUGACUAAUAGUAAUGACACCAGCUCAUUAUGCAAACUUGCGUGGAGACACUAAAUGUGUUUUGAAUGCAAAAUGGACCUGUGUUGCUGCAAAACCACACAAAAGAAGAUUACUUUGCUCAGAGAGUGGAAGACUUGUGAUCUUGAAGCAUCAGCUUGGUCGAACACCAGUAGCUGCUCAAAUCAACUGUCCUGAAAACCACAGAGUGACCGUGAUGCUGUUUCAUCUUAUCUUCAUGUCACUGGUUUGCUCAGGGCUGUCAGUGGAGAGCUAUGGAAGAGACUUCAUCACGGCAUUCCCAGAAAACACUGCCUACUACCAUCCACAGGAGUCCUCCAACACGCUCCAAAUUACUGCUUUCUACGACAACACCCUCGUCUCAAUCACCAUCAACUACAUAAAAGUGUUUUAUGAUAAGCUACAAUCUGGGCAGACUAAAAUUGUGCAUUUUCCCAAGUACAUCGAGGAAUAUCAGUUCACAAACUUCCCUCUUUUUGUCAGAGUCAACAGCACCCAAAUGAUUGUGGUGCUUUGGCUCAGUCAGCGUGGGGACAGCGUGCAGUCUAAUGUUGUUCAACCUGUUAAAAAUCUCGGAAAGUGGUAUUCAAUCCCAUUUAUCAAUUACAAUCAGAUGAUUGCAUCCUUGUACAAUAUGUCAGAUCAGUUAGCUCCAGACAACUGGAGAUACAAUUCGUUCAGGCUGAUCAUUAUCAAUGCUGAGAACUCCGUUAACUUAAUCACCGUCCGAAGUAUCAGUCCGGAUGGUCCAAAAGCAUUUAAUAUUACGCUCAGGCCUUACGAACUUUACCAGUUACAAACUAACGGUUCGGAAAUUCAGUUGGACUCUUAUGGCACUGUGGCUGUGCUGUUAACCCACCCGUGUGUAGAAACUACAGGAUGUGAUUGCAAUAUGGUGGUGAGCCACGUUCUCCCCCGAAAUCUGUGGGGUGACAGGUUUGUUGUGCCGCAGGUGAAGAACCUGAAUACAGCUUGGCUGCAAGUGACUAACACAACGAAAGUAAGGCUGAAAGGCGUGAAUAUAAAAACUCAGCAGUCCAAUUCCUCAGAGCUAAUUCCCUUCCCGGAGCUCAAGAGUGCGUCUCAGCUGAUCAGUUCGACAAAUAAGGUGUCCAUCAGACUUAUAAGUCCAGGCCUCAUCAUAGAACUCAUACCAGAAACCAUGUUCGCCGCUUGUUACCUGGUUCAGAUGAACUUGAUAGAAGGUGAGGCCGUUAUUAUCGCUGAAACAGCCCGUAAGAACAAUGUGUAUAUAGAUGGCAAAUUACUUAAAUUCACUAACUGGAAACCCAUUCCCUAUUCAAACUACUCUUCGAUAUCUGUGUCGCUAAGUGGCACACAUGUCAUCUGGCAUCCAACCUCCAGGAUUGGAGUGUACAUGUUUGAGAAGAUGGAGGGUGGAAUUCCUUACGGAAGCCAAGCUGUCAUUUUAAAUGAUGACCCAGAUCGUGAUGGCUGUGUCGCAGAUUCUGCACAUUAUAAGAUCACUACUGAUGUCAUGACAUGGCCCGAGUCCCAUCAUUACUGCUUAAAUAUAUCUUACCAGCUGAGCACACCAAGCAGCGAAAUGGCCCAAAAAGAGAUGACCAACUUUCUGCAAAACAACAGAGGUCCUGGGUAUCUCUGGAUCGGUCUGCGGCGCAGUCUUUUCACGUCAGAGUGGUACUGGCAGAAAGGCAAUGACAGCAAAUACAGCGUGAGCUUCACGAAGUGGGCAGAUGGGCAUCCAGACAUUCCCCAGAAAGCGUUGUGUGCUGCUGUGUCCCAAGAUGCCAACAAGGAGUUUACCUGGAAGAGUGUGUCCUGUUGCUCUAAGCUUAGGCCCAUCUGCUACAAACAGGGCAAAUACUUCAGUGAUAUGACCUUUAAUACACCAUAUGAUCAUUUUAGCAUUACUUACCCAAAGGACUUUCCUUUUUGUCCAAAUUCUUGACCUUUUAUUUGAAAUUAGUAACUGCAAUAAUAAAUCACAUCACAAUAGUUUAAUCAUGAUUUUAAGUAAAAUUAAUCAAAUUGCUUAAUUAUAAAAAGCUGUCUAUUACAUAGCUGUUACUUUAUAGUAUUGUUGUUUUUAUGUGCAUAAUAUAAAGCAAUAUUAACAUUUCAAUAUGGAUCUUCUGAAAACACAAUGAAAGUAUAUAUAUAUAUAUAUAUAUAUAUAUAUAU
ensembl:lncRNA